GAUUAGAGUUUGAUCCUGGCUCAGGAUGAACGUUGGCGGUGUGCCUAAUACAUGCAAGUCGAACGGAGUUAGUAGCAAUACUGGCUCAGUAGCGAACGGGUGAGUAACGCGUUGGUGAUCUGCCUUGAAGUGUGGAAUAACGUUUCGAAAGGAACGCUAAUACCGCAUGUGCUCUCGAUUUUCAGAAAGUUGAGAGUAAAGGAUUUAUUCGCUUUGAGAGGAGCCUGCGUCCCAUCAGCUAGUUGGUAAGGUAAUGGCCUACCAAGGCGAUGACGGGUAGGGGACCUGAGAGGGUGGCCCCCCACAAUGGAACUGAAACACGGUCCAUACACCUACGGGUGGCAGCAGUAGGGAAUAUUAGAAAUGGACGAAAGUCUGAUCUAGCAACACCGCGUGUGCGAAGAAGGCCUUCGGGUUGUAAAGCACUUUUUGGAAGGAUUAGGAAGGAAUGUACUCCAGAA
rnacentral:rRNA from 1 species